rnacentral:rRNA from 1 species
UACGUAGGGUGCAAGCGUUGUCCGGAAUUAUUGGGCGUAAAGAGCUCGUAGGCGGCUCGUUGCGUCGGCUGUGAAAACCCGCAGCUCAACUGUGGGCUUGCAGCCGAUACGGGCGGGCUGGAGUUCGGUAGGGGAGACUGGAAUUCCUGGUGUAGCGGUGAAAUGCGCAGAUAUCAGGAGGAACAGCCGGUGGCGAAGGCGGGUCUCUGGGCCGAUACUGACGCUGAGGAGCGAAAGCGUGGGGAGCGAACAGG